rnacentral:rRNA from 1 species
UACGGAGGGGGCUAGCGUUGUUCGGAAUUACUGGGCGUAAAGCGCGCGUAGGCGGAUCUGCAAGUCGGGGGUGAAAUCCCGAGGCUCAACCUCGGAACUGCCUUCGAUACUGCGGGUCUCGAGUCCGGGAGAGGUGAGUGGAAUUCCUAGUGUAGAGGUGAAAUUCGUAGAUAUUCGCAAGAACACCAGUGGCGAAGGCGGCUCACUGGCCCGGUACUGACGCUGAGGUGCGAAAACGUGGGGAGCAAACAGG